UCACUGGCAGCUGCUGCUAUUACUGAGUUUAUUGUUGCUGGAGGCUUUUGACCGCCUCCAUCAAAAUGAUCAUCUGCUGCAUGAGUACAGUGAUCUGAGCAUCUGUGAUGACCACAGAAUACGAAAAACUAGGCUAUGCUAUUGGAGGUGGGGGAGGAGCAUCUUUCCAAUGGGAAGAGUGCCUCGUCGAUCCAGUCGAGUGCUGGACUCUUGUUUUCGGCAUGAUUGACC
rnacentral:lncRNA from 1 species